rfam:Salmo salar isolate Sally breed double haploid chromosome ssa11, whole genome shotgun sequence.
UGGCUCAGUUGGUAGAGCAUGGAGUUUGUAAUGCCAGGGUUGUGGGUUUGAUUCCCAU